rnacentral:rRNA from 1 species
GUGUCAGCCGCCGCGGUAAUACGUAGGUGGCGAGCGUUGUCCGGAUUUACUGGGCGUAAAGAGCGCGCAGGCGGCUCGGUAAGUCUGCUGUGAAAUCUCCCGGCUUAACUGGGAGGGGUCAGCGGAUACUGUCGGGCUUGAGGCAGGUAGAGGAAGGUGGAAUUCCCGGUGUAGUGGUGAAAUGCGUAGAUAUCGGGAGGAACACCAGUGGCGAAGGCGGCCUUCUGGGCCUGUCCUGACGCUGAGGCGCGAAAGCGUGGGGAGCGAACCGGAUUAGAAACCCGCGUAGUCC